rnacentral:lncRNA from 1 species
CUCAACCAUCAGGUUCGGCAGCCGGCGGCGCCGCCUGGCAGCUCCUCCUCUUCUCCGCCCCGCUGGCCGCGGGCGCGGGGGACGUCAGCGCUGCCAGCGUGGAAAGAGCUGCGGGGCGCGGGAGGAGGAAGUAGAGCCCGGGACCGCCGGGCCACCACCGGCCGCCUCAGCCAUGGACGCGUCCCUGGAGAAGAUAGCAGACCCCACGUUAGCUGAAAUGGGAAAAAACUUGAAGGAGGCAGUGAAGAUGCUGGAGGACAGUCAGAGAAGAACAGAAGAGGAAAAUGGAAAGAAGCUCAUAUCCAGAGAUAUUCCAGGCCCACUCCAGGGCAGUGGACAAGAUAUGGUGAGCAUCCUCCAGUUAGUUCAGAAUCUGAUGCAUGGAGAUGAAGAUGAGGAGCCCCAGAGCCCCAGAAUCCAAAAUAUUGGAGAACAAGGUCAUGUGGCUGUGUUGGGACAUAGUCUGGGAGCUUAUAUUUUGACUCUGGACGAAGAGAAGCUGAGAAAACUUACAACUAGGAUACUUUCAGAUACCACCUUAUGGCUAUGCAGAAUUUUCAGAUAUGAAAAUGGGUGUGCUUAUUUCCACGAAGAGGAAAGAGAAGGACUUGCAAAGAUAUGUAGGCUUGCCAUUCAUUCUCAAUAUGAAGACUUCGUAGUGGAUGGCUUCAGUGGGUUAUAUAACAAGAAGCCUGUCAUAUAUCUUAGUGCUGCUGCUAGACCUGGCCUGGGCCAAUACCUUUGUAAUCAGCUCGGCUUGCCCUUCCCCUGCUUGUGCCGUGUACCCUGUAACACUAUGUUUGGAUCCCAGCAUCAGAUGGAUGUUGCCUUCCUGGAGAAACUGAUUAAAGAUGAUAUAGAGCGAGGAAGACUGCCCCUGUUGCUUGUCGCAAAUGCAGGAACGGCAGCAGUAGGACACACAGACAAGAUUGGGAGAUUGAAAGAACUCUGUGAGCAGUAUGGCAUAUGGCUUCAUGUGGAGGGUGUGAAUCUGGCAACAUUGGCUCUGGGUUAUGUCUCCUCAUCAGUGCUGGCUGCAGCCAAAUGUGAUAGCAUGACGAUGACUCCUGGCCCGUGGCUGGGUUUGCCAGCUGUUCCUGCGGUGACACUGUAUAAACACGACCCUGCCUUGACUUUAGUUGCUGGUCUUAUAUCAAAUAAGCCCACAGACAAACUCCGUGCCCUGCCUCUGUGGUUAUCUUUACAAUACUUGGGACUUGAUGGGUUUGUGGAGAGGAUCAAGCAUGCCUGUCAACUGAGUCAAUGGUUGCAGGAAAGUUUGAAGAAAGUGAAUUACAUCAAAAUCUUGGUGGAAGAUGAGCUCAGCUCCCCAGUGGUGGUGUUCAGAUUUUUCCAAGAAUUACCAGGCUCAGAUCCAGUGUUUAAAGCCGUCCCAGUGCCCAACAUGACACCUUCAGCAGUCGGCCGGGAGAGGCACUCGUGUGAUGCGCUGAAUCUCUGGCUGGGAGAACAGCUGAAGCAGCUGGUGCCUGCGAGCGGCCUCACAGUCAUGGAUCUGGAAGCUGAGGGCACGUGUUUGCGGUUCAGCCCUUUGAUGACCGCAGCAGGUAUGAUCUCGUGAAACCUUGAGAGAAACUGAAUGAGGAAUGAAACUAUUGUUCCUGUUUCACACAGAAGAAAACUGAGGUUGGCACUCAUGAUGAGCCCCUGUUCUCAUUCUGCAAAUGGUGAAGCUCUCUAUCGUCCUGACCCCACAGUUCCUGUCCCAUGACCAGGGCCCGCUCACCAAGGAGCUGCAGCAGCACGUAAAGUCAGUGACAUGCCCAUGCGAGUACCUGAGGAAGGUGACCUUGAGGAACCCUGGGAGCUCAGGAAGGAAGGAGCGCCCAGAAGCAGGGACAGGGAGCUGGUUGGGGAGGACCAGAAAUCAGGUGCCCAACAGCCCCCUUCUCCUCCUUUCCCUUCCCUUACUUCCCCCCUUCCCCUCCCCUUCCCCUCCCCCUCCCCAACUCAGAUCUGGCCCCGGUCCCAUCCCCUUCCCUCCCCCCUGCCCUAAGCCACCUCCACCUCUGUCCUGGCUGCCUCAGGGCGCCCUGAAAGGACCAGGACAUGCGGGUGCGGUGGCUGCGCUUUUGGCUCCUCUUCUGGCUCCUGCUGGGAUUUAUCAGCCAUCAGCCCACCCCUGUUAUCAAUACUCUGGCUGACCAUCGUCAUCGUGAGACUGACUUUGGUGGAAGUCCUUGGAUAAUUAUCAUUAUUGUGUUUCUGGGACGUUACAAAUUUACCAUUCUCUUCUGCACAAUUUACCUUUGUGUGCCUUUCCUGAAGACUAUCUUCUGGUCUCGAAAUGGACAUGAUAGAUCCAGGGAUGUACAGCAGAGAGCUAGGAGGUCCAACCGCCGUAGACAGGAAGGAAUUAAAAUUGGCCUGGAAGACAUCUGUACUUUAUGGAAACAGGCGGAAACAAAAGUUCAAGCUAAAAUCCGUAAGAUGAAGGUCACAAAGAAAGUCAACCAUCAUUACAAAAUCAAUGGAAAGAGGAAGACCGCCAAAGAACAGAAAAUGUUUCAACGUGCGCAAGAGUUGCGGUGGCGGGCAGAGGACUACCACAAAUGCAAAAUCACCCCCUCUGCAAGAAAGCCUCUUUGCAACUGGGUAAGUUUGUUUGUUUUCCUUGCUUUUGGAAGUCUGCCAGGUCAGGACAUGGAUACAUUUUUCUCCCUACAGCUCUGUGCUCAAGCCCUGCAGAGGGAGAUGGCAGAGAGGAAGGCUGCCUACAAGCAUCACAGUCCCAUCCCUGUUGGUAACCGUGUUGUGCAAAAACACCUUCAUCCCCACCCAGUGGGGCCCCUGAUCUAA